AUUGAACGCUGGCGGCAUGCUUUACACAUGCAAGUCGAACGGCAGCGCGGGGCAACCUGGCGGCGAGUGGCGAACGGGUGAGUAAUACAUCGGAACGUACCCAGAAGUGGGGGAUAACGUAGCGAAAGUUACGCUAAUACCGCAUACGUUCUACGGAGGAAAGUGGGGGACCUUCGGGCCUCAUGCUUUUGGAGCGGCCGAUGUCUGAUUAGCUAGUUGGUGAGGUAAAGGCUCACCAAGGCGACGAUCAGUAGCUGGUCUGAGAGGACGACCAGCCACACUGGGACUGAGACACGGCCCAGACUCCUACGGGAGGCAGCAGUGGGGUAUUUUGGACAAUGGGCGCAAGCCUGAUCCAGCAAUGCCGCGUGAGUGAAGAAGGCCUUCGGGUUGUAAAGCUCUUUUGUCAGGGAAGAAACGGCUGAGGAUAAUACCUUCGGCUAAUGACGGUACCUGAAGAAUAAGCACCGGCUAACUACGUGCCAGCCGCCGCGGUAAAAC
rnacentral:rRNA from 1 species